UACGGAGGGAGCUAGCGUUGUUCGGAAUUACUGGGCGUAAAGCGCACGUAGGCGGCUUUGUAAGUUAGAGGUGAAAGCCCGGGGCUCAACCCCGGAAUUGCCUUUAAGACUGCAUCGCUUGAAUCCGGGAGAGGUGAGUGGAAUUCCGAGUGUAGAGGUGAAAUUCGUAGAUAUUCGGAAGAACACCAGUGGCGAAGGCGGCUCACUGGACCGGUAUUGACGCUCAGGUGCGAAAGCCAGGGGAGCGAACGGG
rnacentral:rRNA from 1 species